GUGUACAAGGUGGACAUCGACAUGGUGAUUAGGGACUGUUUUACAACACAUCAUCCUCUGUUUUUACACGCAGUUGUAGAAGAAAAUACUUUUACUUAUUGCAAGUCGUGACUGUCAUGCGUAUGUUAUGAAUUCAGAAACUAUAACAUGUUUUUUUGCCAUGGUGGAGUAAACUGAACAAUUAAGUUGCUAGUUCAGUAUGUGAGUUGCAUCAUGAGAUGCUGCUGAUAAGAGAGAGGCACUCUCUCUGUUGUAUUUUCUGUUUAUUGUCUUUAGUUAAUGCGUCCCCAUGUCUUGGUAGGUAAUUAGUAUCAUGUCCAUGUUGAUGUCAUGUGAUGCUGCUGAUAAGUCUGAAAUCUUGCGUGCCCAAAAUCUAGGCGUCCCAGUUUAAUUGGGCAGCACUUACUGUCAUUGUAGCUACGCUUCUGGUUGUUGCGAGAAAAUCCUCGCUUCUGGGUGCGAGAAAAUGGUCUUGUGGUUUAAUUUUUUGAACCAGUGGAUUAGGGUCAGAUAUCAUGCCAUGUUGUGAUGUUUGCUUAUUAGGUAUGUGCAUUGAUCUAUUCUUGCUAGAUGUGCAGCAACGAAUUGAGAGAUAUGAUACUGAUUCCUUUCUUGUUCAGUGUAAAUUUAUUACAUAAACAUGUGGAGGGCACUAUGACUGUAGCAGAGUUGGUGAUAUGAUAUUGAUUCCUUUCUUGUUCAAUGUAAAUUUAUUUUGAGGAGAGUUGGUGAUAAACACUUACAAGUUCAUGAAUAACUAAGCAACUGUCAUGCUGAAAAAACACUUCCUGCUGUAGAUUAUUAAUCUUAAUGUCCAUGAGUAUAGUACGACUCCAUAUUUGGCAACCACAUGUCACAAGAACACCUUGAGACCGCUAUUCGCUAAAUACCUGUUACUUUUGUUAUUCUUUGUUCUAUCUUGUUCUGCCUUGUCCUUUUCUAAUUGGGGAAAACCAAUAAUCCUGUUUGGCUUUUGCUCAAGUGAAUUUUUAUGUACGUACUAUUUUCCCCCUGAUCAAGUAGUUGAUUGAUUUGAAUAUACACAUAUGAUGCAGCACUGGACAUGAAGUACAUCACAAGGGUCAAGGAUUAGGAAGGCUACCCUACCAUGGCAACUCAUUAACAAGGCCAACGGAGAGGCUCUCUAUGCUUUUGACAGCUUGAAGUACAUAAGCGCUGAGCUGUGGCAGGUUAUUGCUAUGAAGUUCAGUGACUUGCACAUCGCUGCAUUAUGUUCUUUUUACUUCCAGAGCUACAGUGCUCUCAUACUAUCAUUGCAUUGCCUGUUGUUCUUGCUGCAUACCUAUAUGAAUCCAGAUCCAUAGCUUGUACUGCAACUAAUGUGUCAUGCGUUUUGUGGCAGCAACAACAGCUAGCAGGAGCAAUUCUCUUGCUGGUAUGCAUGUAUGCCUCUGCUUUGGUCUUACUGCAUGUGAGCUUGGUUGUGUCCGUUGACGCAGUGUAGCUAUUCUGUUCCUGUAGAUUUGGGGUGCGGGAGGGGGGAUUUUUGCCCACUUAAAUUACUUUUAUGUGCUCAUCGAAUUGGAUGGUUGCUCUGGUGUGAAUCAUACUAGUAUGCACUAGCAGCAAUCUGUCAAUGUUUGCUACUGGAAAAUCAAUUUGCAUUAACUUUUAAACUUGAAACUGUUCCCUUUUCUGUUUGAUUCAAGCUUACUCUCGUUAUAAUGUAUUGUGUAGUUGUUGUUUCAAACUGUUUUGCUACAAGUACCAUAAUUUGCAUUGAAGAUAUUGUAUUAUGUUGCUGUAUCAUUGUUUAAUAAAACCACAACAUGAUGCUCACAUGAGAUAUCCACAUGUUUCUAUGCUGUUUGAUUCAAGCUUACUCUCGUUAUAAUGUAUUCUAUUGCUAUUUUGCUACAAGCUGUGUGUUGAUUUGAUAACAGGAGUUUCCUUGUCCUGGUCCUAUACUGCAUUUUGACUCCUAUGUUUCUGUGCGCGUGUGUUUAAUUGAUAUUGUUUCAACUUUGAACUUCUUCUGCAUAUGGCCUAUACUGCAAUUGGGAUUUAAAUUUGUGGUUGUUCCUCUUUUACAGAUGCUCAAGUGUGAAGUGUGAAGCAAGUGUGAAGCCGUGAAGUGUGAAGCCGUCAAGUUCUACUUAGUGAAGAGUAGCAUAUUGUAGCAUAUAUGUGUUGUAAAGAUUGUAAUAGAUUUAUUUAGUGGUAUAUUUGAUGAAAUUUAUGUGUUCUUUUGGAUUAUGUAUGUGAUCUGAAAACUUGUGAAAUGGAAACUUGACCAAUGGGUCCACUUAUGAAAAUAAUCUGUCAAUUUUGUACAUUUCUGACAUGUGGGACCAAUUUGAGAGAUGAUCAUGACAAG
rnacentral:lncRNA from 1 species